GAAUGGACCAGGUUCAACAUCCAGGAGCUGAACAUCUGAUGACGGUUGAUAUCCGGAACAUGCAAGCAAUGGUCUUGUUUCCGUGUUCGAUGCUGCAAUGGCCAGAUUUUCUUUACCAAGCUAGGUUUCCAUCAUCAUACUAUUCAACAUUAUAUUAAGACCAAAAAGGAACAUGGUUCGCCUUGUCAGCCAACUGAACUAGGCUCAGUUCAUUGAAUUAAUCAUGAAACGUAGUGUCCUUUUACUUCAUACUAACUAGCCUUGUCAUUUGAACAAAUAACCUUAGUUGGUAGCUAAAAGUGAUUACACCAAAGAUACGCUUCACCCUUUUUUAGCCAAGCAGCCUUUCAAAAUGCAUAUGAAUUUGAGAUCAUUAUUCUUGUCAAUAAGUAUUUCUUUGUUAGGCUAUUACACUGGUUAUGCUUAUUUUAGAAAUAUAAAGUUGAUGUGCAUGGUUGGAGAGGAAUACGAUAGUGGAAGUUCUCGGGAUUGGGCUGCCAAGGGACCAAUGUUAUGGGUAGAUGCAGUGGCGGAGCUCUAUAAUUUUGACGCCCCAGACCACUUUUAAGAAGCCCUCCAAGAUAUUAUGCAACAAAAUAUACCGCUAAAACAUAUUAUACCAUAAGCAUAGAUUAAAAUACUCCCUCUGUUUUAAAAUAGUAGUGGUUUUAGAGAAUUAGUGAGUUCAUAAUAUAGACAUAAAAAUUCAGAGCUAAAACAACUACUAUUUUAAAACUAAGGGAGUAGUAUUUGUCUCAAUUCAGCACCUAAAAAUAUAACAAACUUAAUAAAAAGAGAGGAGAAGAGAAUAAUCAACAUAUAAGUGAAAGGGGAAAACCGAGGAGAAGAGAACACUUACAAACCAGUGGGACAAUAAAAUGGCUAGCGUUGUCUGCUGUCAUGCUGUGGACUGUCGGCCUUAGAGAGAUGGAAUCUUCAGUCUUGUGCUAGGGACAGUAGGACAAGGAGAGGAAGCCACCAAGCCGAUUAAGUCUGCCACUCUAUCGUCUAGAUUAUGGAACAGUGGGUGGCUCUCUGGCUGACCGGUGGAAGGCGAAGUCGGAGGUUGGAGGAGCUGCUGACCGCCACGGUGGAGCCGAGCCCGUUCAGGUUGUGAACACACAUCUGCAGAGAUAAAAAAGGAGUGGCAUCAAUGGCAGCCACAGAUUGGGGCAUGAAGUGUAACCACUAUGAGAUCAACGUGUUGUUUUUUCAUGUUUAAUAAUUUGAGUUAUAAUAUAUGGUUUGCUUAUAAUGUUUUUAAAAUUUUUUAUUUUGGCGAUGCAGGGGACAUAACUCCUCCAACAGGGAUUAGGCAGGCUAUGGAGAUGCAGGCUGAAGUAGAAAGGAGAAAAUGCGCCCAAGUCCUUGAAUCAGAAGGGAAGAAACAAACCGUGCGAUAAUUUUAGUAAGUUUUUUCUCAUAGAUUCUUCCAACUUUACUGCAUCACCGCCGAGAACACCAUCACCAUUUCUGAAUUCCUUCAUUUACCUUAGAAUUCAAUAUAUUCUUGAGUGCAACGGACAUGUUCUAUUCUGUGGAAUACCUAGAGGACCAUGUUUAGUUGAUUCUUGUAAAACUAUGGGCACAUUUGUCUCCAUUCCCUUCAUGUAUGUUGUGGGAGAUCUUUUCUCUCCUUGCUGUAGAACAUCAAUAAAGUUGGCUUGGUAUAUUGUU
rnacentral:lncRNA from 1 species